UACGUAGGCAGCGAGCGUUGUUCGGAGUUACUGGGCGUAAAGCGUGCGUAGGCGGUGUCUUGAGUUUGUUGUGAAAUCUCCCGGCUUAACCGGGAGGGUGCGGCGAAUACUGAGAUGCUGGAGUGCCGGAGAGGUAAGCGGAAUUCCUGGUGUAGCGGUGAAAUGCGUAGAUAUCAGGAGGAACACCUGCGGUGUAGACGGCUUACUGGACGGUAACUGACGCUGAGGCACGAAAGCGUGGGUAGCAAACAGG
rnacentral:rRNA from 1 species